CAGUUGACAUGCUGAAGAAUGCAUCAGAAUCUCUUAACAGCAGAAUUGAUCAAGCAGAAUAAAGAAUGAGUGAGCUUGAAGAGAGGCUAUUUGUAAACACGUAGGCCAGGCGCGGUG